ensembl:lncRNA LINC02941 long intergenic non-protein coding RNA 2941
AGGUUAAGUAAAGGGCACUGAACAAGUGAAGCUGUGCUGAAAACAACAGUGGCCAAGGCAGAGAUAUUCUUAUACCUCAACCCGUUGUGCAGAUGGAAGUCUGGCCAAAAAACCAUAAAGCAUCAAGUCUGACUAUUGGUUUGCCAUGGCUCUUUGAAACAGUUACUCUUGUCCUCAUUGUAGAGAUGGCGAUACUAAGGCAGAAUAUGUUUCUCUUGCUCAUCGGACCAAAGUUUGGAAUCACGUCUCAUCUUCGUGUAUUUUGAAAAUCUAACAAAUCUAGAAGAUGGUGUGAAUGUGCAUAUAUUUAGACAAUUUAAAAUUUUGUCAAGGACAUGAAAGAAAGACAUGUUUUCUAACAAAACAGAAAAAAACAAAAAUAAGAACAGAAUGCUUUUAACAUUGCUUAAAGAACUACAGAACUAUGGUGGCAAAGUGAGUAUGUCAUACAAGGUAGGCUAUGUAAAUCUAUGUGUGAUAAUUGUGUACUAUUCAUUGAUAGGGGAUGUACUUUCUACUUAACACAUGUUCUCCUCCUAGAUACCUUACCUAUAGGUACAGAAGUAUCUAUUAUAUUGGUUUAGGCUGAUUCUAAGGGAUAUUUCUCUUAAUGUAAGCUGAAGCAGAGAGAAACUCUAUUGGCAGAUGCAAGUGACUUUUUUAACACAAUGAGUUACUGAAGGAUGGAUUCUUAAGCUAUGGAAUAUUGCUGAAAUCAAAGCUGCUAUAAUGCAGUUAUACUUUCAUAAGUCUGAAUAGAAAAAAAAGUCACAUCAUGGAAAAGAGAACUCAAUCAAAUAUCGGACUUCCACACUAUUUAUGUGUACUAUGUGUACUAUGUGUUCUUAAUAAAUAUUCUCAUAAAUACCUGCAAAA